UACGUAGGGAGCGAGCGUUGUCCGGAUUCAUUGGGCGUAAAGAGCUCGUAGGCGGCUUGGUAAGUCGGAUGUGAAACCUCCAGCUCAACCUGGAGUCGCCAUCCGAUACUGCCAUGGCUAGAGUCCGGAAGAGGAGAGUGGAAUUCCUGGUGUAGCGGUGAAAUGCGCAGAUAUCAGGAAGAACACCCGUGCUAAGGGCGGCUCUCUAGUUAACGG
rnacentral:rRNA from 1 species